rnacentral:tRNA from 1 species
GGCGGUAUAGCCAAGUGGAAAGGCAAAAGUCUGCAAAACUUUUAUCCUCGGUUCGAAUCCGAGUGCCGCCUCUA